rnacentral:rRNA from 1 species
GAUGAACGCUGGCGGCGUGCCUAAUACAUGCAAGUCGAGCGAACAGACGAGGAGCUUGCUCCUCUGACGUUAGCGGCGGACGGGUGAGUAACACGUGGAUAACCUACCUAUAAGACUGGGAUAACUUCGGGAAACCGGAGCUAAUGCCGGAUAAUAUAUUGAACCGCAUGGUUCAAUAGUGAAAGACGGUUUUGCUGUCACUUAUAGAUGGAUCCGCGCCGCAUUAGCUAGUUGGUAAGGUAACGGCUUACCAAGGCAACGAUGCGUAGCCGACCUGAGAGGGUGAUCAGCCACAAUGGAACUGAGACACGGUCCAGACUCCUACGGGAGGCAGCAGUGGGGAAUUUUGCACAAUGGGCGAAAGCCUGACGGAGCAACGCCGCGUGAGUGAUGAAGGUCUUCGGAUCGUAAAACCCUGUUAUUAGGGAAGAAAAAAAGUGUAAUUAACUAUGCACGUCUUGACGGUACCUAAACAGAAAGCCACGGCUAACUACGUG